rnacentral:lncRNA from 1 species
UGUGUCCGAGACAACUUCUCCUUCUCUUUUCCUCCAAACUCAUUUCCACUUUGUGUGAAAUAAGUUUGGGGGGAGGGGAAAGAUAGAUUAGUUGUCUCAUCUAUCUUUUGCUUUACUUGUUUUUGUUUGUUUUAGUUUUAUUUUCUUGUUUUUGUUAUUGUUGAAUAAAUGAAAGCUUGAGAGUUAGUUGGGUUGAUAUUUUUGUUUUUGUUUUGCUUGGGAUAAUUGUAGCAAAUUUUGUGACGAUGAAUUGUUUGUUGUUGGGCUUACAAUAUGAUUGUUGUUUUUGAAAAGAAAUUGUGUGUAUCACUUGUGGAUUAUGCAUGAAAAGUUUGAACUUGUGACAAGUGAGUUAAAUAUUUUGCCUCCAAGAACUUGAUAAUGAGCUUGUAAGAUUUGAGCCAUUGAUUGUCAUAUUAUCACAAUCUCAUUUCAUUCUUGAGUGUAAAUCAAUUGAACAUGCUCGUUAAUCUCUAGAACUUGCCAUAAGUCCUCUCUAAAAAAAUGAAAGUAGAUGUGUUAUGGAUAUUGAAGUGAUUUAAGGCCAUCCUUGCUAGCCACUUGACUUAAAUUGUGUCCAAAUUCUCAUAUGAUCAUAGUUUACCCACUUUGUGCCUUAUAGCCUUUUUUUGAAUGAACCAAUGAUAAAGGGGUAGAACUUAGAGUGUUAGUGGUUGCUUUGAUGAAAAGGUUUGGGAAAUGAUUGAAAUUGCCUAUCAAGCUUUGAUUGAGUGAAAAUCACUAGUCCCCUAUGAGCUUAAAAAGAAAAAGAAAAGAAAAAGAAAUGUUGAAUAAAAGAGCAUAAAGGGGAGUGAUUUACCUUUUGAAUCAUAGCCAUGAUACAUAUCACUAAGGAUGAAAAGAAGAAAUGUGGGGAUAUUGGUUAUUGAUUGAUUAGAAAAGAACAAUGGUGAAUAUGACUUAUUCAAUUUGGGAAUUGUAUGGGAUAUGAGUCACUUUGCCUAUAAACACCUCACCUCACCAAAGAGCCCUCAUUGCAACCUAAAGAAAA